UAACCUACCCAAGAGAUCGGGAUAACACCUGGAAACAGAUGCUAAUACCGGAUAACAACAGAUGAUGCCUAUCAACUGUUUAAAAGAUGGUUCUGCUAUCACUCUUGGAUGGACCUGCGGUGCAUUAGCUAGUUGGUAGGGUAACGGCCUACCAAGGCGAUGAUGCAUAGCCGAGUUGAGAGACUGAUCGGCCACAUUGGGACUGAGACACGGCCCAAACUCCUACGGGAGGCAGCAGCU
rnacentral:rRNA from 1 species